rnacentral:pre_miRNA from 1 species
CCACUUCUGCAGGCUGGCUGGUCCCCAGGCUGGGUUGGGCAAAUACGUCUUCGAAAGGCUCACUCUCAAGCACGACUAGGAAC